AAAAUUGUGCUUGGGGCAAUGACGCAGCUAGUGAGGUUCUAAUCGAGGCGCGUCUAUUGCUGGUUGAAUACUAUUUCCAACCCCCCCUCUCAUGCCAAUGUGUUUACUUAUCAAUAAA